CACGUAGGGGGCAAGCGUUUGUCCGGAAUCAUUGGGCGUAAAGAGCGUGUAGGCGGCCCGAUAAGUCCGCUGUGAAAGUCCAGGGCUCAACCCUGGGAUGCCGGUGGAUACUGUCGGGCUCGAGUCCGGAAGAGGAGUGUGGAAUUCCUGGUGUAGCGGUGGAAAUGCUUAGAUAUGACAUAGAACACCAAUUGCGCAGGCAGCUUACUACACAGUAAUUGACACUGAGGCACGAAAGCGUGGGGAUCAAACAGG
rnacentral:rRNA from 1 species